UUUCUUUAAAGCUUUACAACAGCAAUAAAAAAUAUUCUUCAGCAUUCCACUGUAACUGGCCAUUUCAGCAUGGGGAAUAUACCACCUCCAUCAGCCCAGUGAUUCAAUGUCCCUGCUCUGCCUUGAAGGACUGAAAAAUCCCCAAGUCCCAGGAAACACAACCUAAGGAGAAAUGCCAAGUGACAGAAGAUGAUGCUUCAUAAGAGAGACAGCGCCUGCCUCAAAGAGCUUGCAGUUUGCAUGUAGGCCCAGAGAUUGCUGAAGGAUGCUGCUAACAGGUUAUAAUGAGAAGGAACCCAAAGUCAGCACUGAGCAGCAACAAUUUAAAGCGGAUUGCGAUGGAUGUUGCUUUACUUGUCCAAUAUGAAUUGUCUUGCCUGUAUAAAUCUUAGAAGAAGAAAGCAACAAUCCAAUGAAUUUUCAUGUACGCAGU